GGCUAAGCUAUAAAGGGCAAACGGUGGAUGCCUUGGUGCCAGGAGGCGAUGAAAGACGUGGUAAGCUGCGAUAAGCUUCGGGGAGUUGCUAAACAAACUUUGAUCCGGAGAUUUCUGAAUGGGGAAACCCGUCACGGUCAAUACUGUGACAUGGUCAGGUGAAUACAUAGCCUUGCCAAGCCAACGGGGAGAACUGAAACAUCUUAGUACCCCCAGGAAGAGAAAGUAAAAACGAUUUUCCUAGUAGCGGCGAGCGAACGGGAAACAGCCCAAACCUGACAUGUGUGAUAGCCCGAAGGCGUUGCAUGGCAGGGGUCGUGGGAUCUGAAUUGGAUCUGUUUCGGAAGGUCCGGAGAGUUACAAAAUUAAUUCAUAGUUGAACGAACUGGAAAGUUCGGCCAUAGAGGGUGACAGCCCCGUAAGCGAAAUGAAUUGAUCUCUCUUUUCAGACACCCAAGUACUGCGGAACACGAGAAAUUCUGUGGGAAUUUGCGAGGACCAUCUCGUAAGGCUAAAUACUACCUGGCAACCGAUAGUGAACCAGUACCGUGAGGGAAAGGUGAAAAGUACCCCUGUAAGGGGAGUGAAAUAGUACCUGAAACCGUUUGCCUACAAGCAGUGGGGGCUUGGACUUUUGUCCGAGUGACCGCGUGCCUUUUGCAUAAUGAGUCAGCGAGUUAUUUAACGUAGCAAGGUUAAGCCGUGAGGUGUAGCCGCAGGGAAACCGAGUCUUAAUAGGGCGACGAGUUGCGUUGAGUAGACCCGAAACCAGGUGAUCUAGUCAUGGCCAGGUUGAAGCGCGAGUAAAAUCGCGUGGAGGACCGAACCCAUAUAGGUUAAAAACUAUUGGGAUGAGCUGUGAUUAGGGGUGAAAGGCCAAACAAACCUGGAGAUAGCUGGUUCUCUCCGAAAUAUAUUUAGGUAUAGCCUCACAUGUUUCUUAUCGGGGGUAGAGCACUGGAUGGGCUAGGGGUCUCACCAGAUUACCAAACCUAACCAAACUCCGAAUACCGAUUAAGUAAAAUGUGGGAGUCAGCCCGCGGGAGCUAAGUUCCGCGGACGAGAGGGAAACAACCCAGACCGCCAGCUAAGGUCCCCAAGUCUAUGUUAAGUGGGGAAGGAUGUGGAAAUGCUUAGACAAUCAGGAGGUUGGCUUAGAAGCAGCCAUCCUUUAAAGAAAGCGUAAUAGCUCACUGAUCGAGUGGUUCUGCGCCGAAAAUGUAACGGGGCUCAAACAUAGCACCGAAGCUGCGGAUAGAAAUUUAUUUCUAUGGUAGGAGAGCAUUGUGUGAGUAUUGAAUCGUGAUUGUAAGAUCAUGUGGAGUUCACACAAGAGACCAUGCUGACAUGAGUAGCGAUAAAGGGGGUGAGAAACCCCCUCGCCGAUAGCCCAAGGUUUCCUGAGUAAAGCUAAUCUGCUCAGGGUUAGUCGAUCCCUAAGCCGAGGCCGAAAGGCGUAGGCGAUGGAAAACAGGUUAAUAUUCCUGUACCACCGAGUUAUCGUUUGAGAGAAGGGGGGACGCAGGAGGGCAAGUCAUCCGUCUGUUGGAAUAGGCGGUUCAAGCUCGUAGGCUUAAGGAGCAGGCAAAUCCGUUCCUUUUUAAGGCCGAGAAGCGAUGAGGAGGGACUUUGUCCCAUAAAGUGACUGCACCCAUGCUGCCAAGAAAAGCCUCUAUCGAGAUAACAGGUGAUCGUACCCUAAACCGACACAGGUAGGCAGGGAGAGAAUCCCGAGGCGCUUGAGAGAACCCUGGUUAAGGAACUCGGCAAAAUGAUACCGUAACUUCGGGAUAAGGUAUGCCCCCACUGGUUAGGAGACUUGCUCUCCAAAGCCUAAGGGGGUCGCAGAGAAACGGCGGUAGCGACUGUUUACUAAAAACAUAGGACUCUGCAAAGUCGUAAGACGAAGUAUAGGGUCUGACGCCUGCCCGGUGCCGGAAGGUUAAGGGGAUUUGUUAGUCUUCGGACGAAGCUUUGAACCGAAGCCCCGGUAAACGGCGGCCGUAACUAUAACGGUCCUAAGGUAGCGAAAUUCCUUGUCGGGUAAGUUCCGACCU
rnacentral:rRNA from 1 species